rnacentral:lncRNA from 1 species
AUUUUUUGGUUUAUCAGGUAACAGAAUCCCAAGGACAAAUGAAACUUUCUGAUGAUGCAAAACACUUUUACUCCAAGGAAACUAUUUUAAGGUUUUCCACAAAAUGCCAUGAAUUCCUGGUGUUCCCGUCCUCAAGGGUCCCUUUGUCUGGACUUCUGUGUCCUUCCUAGGAAAACUAGCAGCCACACAGGCCCUAACACUAGCUGACAGCCUGUGUCAUCACGCACUGGGUGAUGAGCAAGCCGCAUCGUCUGCUCCGACACAGUAGGAAGUCACCAGCUCUCAGCAGUGCCAUGUGGUUGGAGGUUUUCCUGAUUGUUCCACACGGAGAUGACUCUUCUUCCUGCUUCGGGAUUUUGUUUUAUGAAAAUCAAGAGUGUUAGCAUUCAGAAAAAGAGCUUCCCUUUUAAAUGAUACAUGCCCAAAUAAAACAUUCAAACAAUGUGGAAAAGCACACACAAGAAAGUGAGGUAUCAGACAGCCAGCAUCCAGAGGGCGUUAUCGCUUAACAGGCCACAGAAACUUGGGAAGAGAAGGUCUCUGUUCCCUUCAUAGUGGUCCCAUUUUGUUGGCUCAGUCUGCUGUCAGAAAUCAGCAAAAAUCACCGCUGCACACAAUGUUCAGCUGACGUGGACUUUGCCUCUUGCUCACGUGUAAGGCGCUGUACAGCUAUCGCCCACCUGUCCAGCCAAUAUUUACUGUGCCCCAUCUAUGCCGAGUCAGGCUGGCUGUGGAGCCAGCACGUCCCAGAGCCUCUGGCCCUCACCUGGAGCACCCCUAGUCUUGUUGCAGUGUCCUCGGGAAAGCCUUCUGCUGAACACCCUUCAGCCUGAGGCUGCUGGGCUGUCCUGACCAGGCCGGAUGCUGCCAGGCCAGCCCGGAGCCUGUCCAGUGGCACUGAUCUAGAGUGUUCCCUGGACUGGCGUCUGCUGACCUAGGACCCUUCCCUGGUGGGCUCCCUAUGCCUAGUCCACUCUUUCUUUCUGACCAUCUCCUGUUUUGGGAAGCCAGAUGUUACAUAAGACCUGCUGUGAAGAAGCUGGAACUUAGUUCUUCCAGCAAGUUUUGUUACUCACUCUAAGAUGUCACAUCAGUCAAACCCGUUCUAUGACCUCUGGACACCCAGAGCUCCAACGUCACCUCCUGGGGCUACUUUCCUGAGCUCCCUGCUCCAAACGUCAGCGCCAUCCAUCUGGAGCCCCCGCCUUUAUGUAUUCUUGUUCAUAGCAUUUACCUACUUGACUCCUUACCCACGUCUGAUUGCGUGCUGGCUGUACCCCACUAGAAGGCCCCAGCCCUGUGCAAGGCGGGGGCGGGUGGUGAGGGAGGGGCCCGGUUUGUUCAUCCUGCAUCCCUCGCACGUCACAGUAGGCACUCGAUCAACGUACUCUGAAUGAAUGAGUGCAUGGAUGAGUGCAUCGUUCCAGACGGGCUCCUCCCUGUGACACUCUGCUUAGGCUGACCCAGAGCCCCUGAGACGCCCCGUGGAGAGGGAGGCCAGGGCUGCGCUGUUUCCUGUGCAAUCUGACCCUGAGGACACCCCUCGGCUUUAGCUGACAACGUUAGGUCAUUUGGCUCAUGCCAUAACGGCUCAUGCCUCCCAGUCUAAUGAUUUUUUAAGUACGCUUUUGGAUUUUCCUUUCAAAUAAACUAUCUCACCAGCUCCUGGUGACAAGUUGAACACCUCGGAGAUCACAGCACUGAGUCCUGGGGGUCAAAAGAAAUCAUUCAAAGCUGAGAAAAUCAAGUAGUAUUAAAAGGACAGAAGCUAACCCAGAGAAUUUUUUAAAUAACAUGAUAAACUAAAAUUGGGUAAUGGAGGGAGGUAGAGAAAGUGGCGGUGCUUCGGGUGGAGUAGUAAGUUCUGCCUAAUCUGAGCUACGUUACCCCGCAGAGCAGUAGUGUUACGAGGGCAACGGCAAGAUGAGCCAGAACCGAAAUAAUCAGCAGCAGCACAUGCACCCAAGAUGAAGAACACACAAACUAUAAACCAGGCAGUAAAAGAGAAAACAUGUAGAAAAUAGGACAGAAGUAAGACCAAGUAGCUCCAAAAUUUGACAGGGCUGAACUGAGCAUUUAAAUAUAAAACACAAACCCGCUAAAAGUUAAACCAUGAAACAUCUAGAAGGAAACAUAGGAGUUAGAAAAAGGAGUAAUUUUGGAGUGCAGAUUAGAAGUGUGAGUAAACGUUAAGACACCAUAAAACAAAAGAUUAAUAUGCUGACCGUAUACAGAUAGAUAGAAGAAAUCUGUAGGUCAAAAAAGGAAAAGAUGAAUAAAAUUUAAAAAGGAGGACCAAGCAUGAAAUAUACUUGCACCACACAUCAGAAUCAAAGCAGAUGGUGUCUUCACUUCCUGUUGCAUUACUGCACAUUAAUGACGAAAAGACCAACCACUCCACAGCAGGACCGGCAGGGGAGGUAGAGACGGAAACAGAAAUAACUGCCUCUCGUACACAAGGAAAGUCAAGAGAAAUGUAAUCAAAACUACACUGAGAUGCUCCUUCCCCACAUCGUAGUCAGGACACACUAGAAAGCAUGCAGAUGUCUCGCUGCCCUAGAGAUCCCUCUAGGUGCCCAACUCGCUCUCUUGACCUGGGGAGAAUGCUGCGCAUCUGUCUCAGCUGUCUGGCGCUGAUUGCUUAAGAAAACUAGAUGGGCACACCGCAGCCUUGAGGGGAGCCAGGUGAGGCUGGGCAUGUCCUCAGCAUCUGGAUCUGUGGGGUGCAGGAAAUAUUGAUCAUGUGAGUUUUGCAAACCUGCUCUGACAUUCUUCACAUUGAUUUUGCAAAUCUGCCUGUCUGAACUCCUAAGGAUUUUCUUUUUUGCAAUUUAUUAUUAUUAAUAUUUAGUUAGAUCAUAAAAAAUGCAAGCAAAUCUAAUCAGUCCAACUCUGUCUGUGGCAGGUGAUGAUUUUUGGCUACUACAAAAAGAAAUAUGGAUCCAGUUCGACCUCAGAUGCAGGGUGAGGUGAGAAUGCCUGAGCAGAGAUCCUGGCGUGUGAACUGGGACGUGUAAUGAAUGAGACAGAAGGCUGUUGUCCCUCAGCCCCCAGCAGCUGUCCUGCCAGGAGCUGCCCCCAGGGGACUCAGGGCCCACCACACAGCAACUUACCUGCUUACACCAAGUGCGCAGCGUCAUGACAAAGGGAAACCUCUCCCAAAAGACAGAGCGGGGAAAGAAUCGUCCAGCCUGUCUCGCCUUCCUGUAGAAGGAACAACAGUGGGACAGCGUUUACACUUAUCUGAACGUUGGUUCCUGGUGUUCAGGGCUCUCCACAGGUCUCAACCUCCCUGCCAUCCCCUCAGGCAUUCCCUUCGUUCGUCCUCUAUUCUCACUCCACAUUGGGAAUAUCUCCUCUCCUUCUCCUAGAAACAGGCCCAGGCUCUGCACAGUGUCCUUCCCACUCCUGAAAUAUGCUCAGGCUUUCCUUGGAAUCUUGGCAGGCCAGGGCCCAAGCACAUCCUGCCCAACUUCCUGUGCGUAGGUUUGCACUGCUCCCUCUCUGCUGGCAGCUGACGUGCUGCCGGUUCCACCUGGGAACGGGAUGGACGACUUCUGAGCAGGGUCAGCCCUCCCUGAGGUGCACUGUCAAAUGUCGAGGGAGCCAGGGUGCCUCUCUUCUCAGGAAGAUGCUCGUGCUUGCCCCGUGGCCCCUCGACAGCACCACAUCCUGAGAGGAGAAAAGUGAAGGCUUAGCGGGUGGGAUCACGCUGCCCACGAUCUUGGCCCGGGUCCCUUCAGUGCUUCCUGGUUGUCUCCUCGUCAGCACAGAUGGAGAAAAUAACAAGACGACCAACAGGCUGAGCUGGACAGAGACCUUUCCUUUCAGCAUCCUGUGAGCCAGCCAGAAUUAGCCCUGAGCUAACAUCUGCCACCAAGCCUCCUCUUUUUGCUGAGGAAGACUGGCCCUGAGCUAGCAUCUGUGCCUAUCUUCCUCUACUGUAUAUGUGGGACGUCUGCCACAGCACGGCUUGACAAGUGGUGCACAGGUCUGCACCUGGGAUCCGAACUGGCAAAGUCCAGGCUGCUGAAGCAGAGUGCGCUAACCCUACUGCUACGCCACCAGGCCAGCCCAGUAUUUUAUUCUUUUUGAUGCUAUUGUGAAUGGAAUUAUUAUUUUAAUUUCCUUUUUGGAUCCUUCAUUGUUAAUGUAUGCUGCGUGGGCUUCCACCCUGAUGGGCAUGGAGAGCAUGAUCCAGCUGUGUCCAUAAGAUCUUAGAACACCUGUACAGCUGGAAGAGCCCUGGCCAGCCUUGGUUGACAAGGACUCAGACUUUUCCAGGAAAUGGACUGGUGCCCAGAGAGGUCAACUGCUCACAGCGUCUGCCUAGUAACCAGAUCCACAAGAGCCAAGCUUGGCUCCAGUCCUCUCUCCUGGCCCUGCCACACGCUCCCAGCAUCUAUUUCUUACAACUAAUGGUGCUGAAAACUUAAUAUCCACACCUGCUGAUGCCUGUUGACAUGCGAAGUGAAUCUGCACCAGAUCAGUGAUGCUUGUAGAACACGGACACAAUAAAUGGAUUCUGAUGCUCCCUAAAUGCCAGCCAAUCUCUUUCAGACCUCAGCAGGAAUACAUUGAAUUGAUAAACAGACUCUAAAUAAACCUCACCGGAAAUCACAAUGUGGCCCCUUAGAAAAGAGCCAAACCCCCUCCAUCCACAAUGACGAUGUGGGUCAGGAACCAAACUGCACACAACCCUCAUCCUGGGCUCUGAGGGUGACGCGUUUGCUGCCAUGGAAAGUGUUUGGGCUCCUCGCUCCACCUGUAUCCUCAGAGGCCUUAUCUCCAGGGCAAAGGCAGCCUUUCUGGAGGUGGAGACCCACCAUCUGUUGUCAGUGCUCUCUUCUUCCCUGGCCUCUGAACUCUGCAGCCCCAAACGGAAGCCCUGAAAGCAGGCUGUGUGUGGUUGCAGCCUGGUGAGCCCCUGCCCUGAGGGCCCUUAUCUGCAGCCACACUUCUGGAGCCAGGCCAGUGACCUUGCUCCACCGAUGAACUUCCCCACUGACUUCUCAAUUCCUGGAAUUGUUCAGAAAAUCCCGUUGGAAAUCCAAGGACGGCUGGGUCUCUCAGUGCUGCUGCUUGUGCACAGAGAAAGGAAGAGCUAUGGCCUGACUGUGGGGCUCUGGGGUCUGGGAAUCCCACACUUUCAGGGGCUUGUGGGGAGGGGGCUUAGAUUCUGUCUCCUUCUGCUGGUCGUGGUUCCUGGAAUGUGGAAGCAAGCCUAGAUCCUAUAGAAGCUUCUCAAGUUCUUGGCCCCCCGCCCUCUAAAGGGAAACCUUUAGGAUAAAAAACAAUUCACCUCAUUAGAAAGCACCCCUCUUUUAAUAUGAAACACAGAAAUGAAGAAGACAGAAAGGAAAGAUGAAAGAAAUAUGAAAAGGCAGCACCUUUCCAGCUCUCAUUAUGUGUCUGACACUGCGCAAAGGACUUGAUCAACACAGACCUCAUUUCGUUCUUAUAAUAACCUAGGAGACAACCAUCACUGUCACUCCCAUUUUACAGAUGCGGAACUAAAGUGCGGGGCAGCUGCAUAUCCAGAACAGCCCUUUCAAGGCCCGUGUUCAAACAUCGUUAAGAAUUUCAAGAUGGCGACAGUGGAGCAUUAAACACAGCAUGGGCCCUUCUGGGCGCGGGCCACGUGACUCGUCUCAGCGAGCAGAGGAGGCAGCCUCUGGAGCCCCCCAGUACAUAGUUACACGUUCUAGUUGUGAGUGCCUCUGGUUGUGCUAUAUGGGACGCCUCAACACGACCUGAUGAGCCGUGCCACGUCUGCGCCCAGGAUCCGAACCGGCAAAACCCUGGGCCGCCGAAGCGGAGUGCGCAAACCUAACCACUCGGCCUCUGGGCUGGCCCCAUAAAUGCUGUCUUUGAGGCAAGUGCGAAUGGGGACGAGAGGGUGAGCUCUGGCCUUAGCCCUGCAUCCCUGGGUCUGAGAUCUGGUUCACCAACGCCCUCCUCUGGGGACCGUACAGCCCCCUGAAGACUAAGUGGGUGGAUUGCAUCUCAGACUAGACUCAGGUGCAGGACACUCAUGACGUGUGAGCUCUGUGCCAGUUCACUGGGACCAUGUUCUAGGCAGAAUCAAUCCAUGCUGAGGCCAACUUGAUAUCCAGGCUGUUUUUCUUGGGUGUAGGGAAAAGAUAAGAACCAGGAAAUUAAAUAGUGCAUGAUCCACACAACCAGAAAACAAACAGUAAUGGCUCUGACUAUACAAUGACAAGAGGUGGGGCCUUCCCAGACACAGGGAGGGGCCGUGGUGAUGGGUCUGCGGCCGCCUCACAGGGCAGUCAUCAUUGGAAGCUUCUGUGAGCCUGAGAGACCUGACCAGUCGCUUCACUCACUGGAGGGGCUACUUUCGGUCAGAUUAUCAGAAGGUUCUUGAGGUUCAGGUCAACUUAAGCUAGCGGAUGCCAUGUCAGUCUGAUGAAUAUGACAGCUGCCCACCGCAGGAAACAUGGGCAGUGUUUGUGUGGCUGAAUCUUUCAAUUAUGGUUGAAAUAAAGACUGGUUUGUGGACAAAUACGAAAUUGGGCUAUUCUCCAGGGCACUUUAGGAAUGCUUAAAAGAGGUAACUGAUGCCCCCAAAGCACAAACACUGGAUGCUGGCUUCUCCAUGCUUCUCAGGAUGCCAAACAUCUGGAUUAAGACUCGAUUAAGACUCUGGUUUAAGACACCAGAGCACUGGCAGACAGCUUCAUUACCCACAGUGAGCCGUGUGCAGGUCACAUGGGGCACUCAACAGUGAUUGGUUGAUGGAAUUGACAGCAUGACCUGUGAAGUCCAAUGUUCCCCCAAGAUGCAUUUCUAGAGCACCAGUGUCCUACAGGACUUUAAUAAAUGUUACUCAGAGAAAAAGCUUCCAUGGUCCGUUGAGUUUGGAAAACACUAAAGUAAACAGUUUUCUUUCUUUAGGAUUUACUGGUGCCUUUAAUUUGCUAACAGGUGCUUACUUACCCAGAGGGGGUAAGUAUGAAGCUAUACACAGAUUUAUUAGACAAAACGCUCAAACCUCUUUUCUUUUUUAAAAAACGUUUCUGGAACAUUUAUUGACUUGUGGAAAAUACAUGAUCCAAGGAGAAGAGCUGGCCCAGUGCUGCUGGAGAAAGCUCAGUCUCCCCGCUCCACACUUGGCUGCACUGAUUUGAGGUCUCAUUCAUUCUGCUGCAUUCGAAUCCUUGUCAGGGACAUGGAGUACCAGGAAAUUUUGUCAGAGUUUACAUAUUUGACUUCUCUAAGGCCUUUGCAUCCUGUUCAGAAACCUCAAGCCCGGGCUGCAUCUUUCCAGGCCUAUGAGUGAGAAGCCUGGAAUGGUAGGCCACAUGAAGAUGGCCGUCUGGAUUUUGCCCUCAGCUUUUCCAUUCUGAGGCUUUGGGGAAAGCAUGUCACAGGAAGCCAAAAACACUGGAUAAGAAAAAGGAAGCGUUGGGAUGUGAUAAGUGUAGUGUAGGUUUUGGCCAACACUUUUGCCUUCCUAGUUCUUUUACGUGGGCUGACGAUAACGUUUGUUCCACUCCCACGCGCGUGCUAGCUGGAUGGCCUCGCUCCCUGAUGGCAGAGGUGGGUCCUACAUCUGCACCCUCUUCCCUGAAGGGGGAGCUGACAUACAGAGGAGCUGUCUUGGGUUGGGACCCUAUAACCUGCACCUGAGAUGAGUUUGCUGGCGAGAGAUCUCAGGAAGUGUCAGCUAGGAAGUGAGGGAUGAGACGGGUUGAAAGGAGCUCAGACAGCAUGCUUCUGUGAGCAGAGCAUCACGGGCUUUGUCCUGCUGGGCCACCCACUGCCAAGAGUGAGAAGGAGCCCUCAUCUCUCUGGCUCAGACCUGCUCCCAGGGAUGUUAGCUCCUUGGCUCUUUAGCCAGAGAAGGCCCUGGGGAGAUGCAGAGGCUGGCCCUUGGCUGCCCAGUGUUGUCAGGGUGCAGAGUGCCCAGGAACUGUGGCUGGGGCCGGAGGUGACACGCCUCUCCAGCAUUUUUAGUUCAGAGCUUCUUGGUCAUGGAUCACUCUGCGACGCAUCUUCUUUGGGUGACGUAAUGGCAUGGACCUUGUCUCACAGGGUGACUGGCGGGCAUGGCACUCGGCCUCCAGGGAGGACUACCCUCUGGAAAUUCUCUGCUCCUCCCGCUUCUCCUUCCUUUGCCCCUACCCCCACCUUUCAAGCCCACCUCUGCCCUUCGAGGUGACACUCAAGUCCCAUUUACCUCAGGGAUGCCUCCCAGACAGCGCUGGGCACCUGGACCAGAGAUGGCCCUCCAUGGACCCUGGAUACGCAUUUGUGGGGUCCUCUCCCUGAAUCCCGACUCUAACGUCUGUGCUAUGGGGGGUCUCCAGUGCUCAUUCUGUACCUCACUCCCAGGGCAGCACCCAGCACACAGGGGUCUCCUACUGGGAGGUGUCAGUUAGGCGAGGACAUCAUGCAGGUGGUCCACACCCUUAGCUUGGGGAUUUUUACCCGUCACCACCAGGGAAAGGGCAGCCACCCCAACAUUGCCGGCGAGCCCUACCCUCCCUCUCCAAGUGACAGAGAUGGCUGGCCACAUGGUGGAGGGUUCACAGGUGGGGUCCAUGUGGAUUCCCAAGUCUCUGGACUCUACCGCUUGUCCCAUAAGUAUUUAUUGCCCAGUGCCAGUUCAGAGUUCAGAUGCUAGGGUUUGAAUGGUGCUAGUUCACUACGUGACCUUGUGUAAGUCACUCAGUGUCUGUGUGCCUCACUUACCCCAUCUGUACAGUGGGUGUGACAAGAGAACCUUCCUCAGAGGUUUCUGUGAGGACUGGAGGAGAUAUGUAAGGAGCCCAGCACGUGCCUGGUGCAGAGGAAGACCUGCUGAGCUCUGGGCCACCGCUAUCGCUCCUGCAACUCCUGCCGGCGCGGGCCUCUUACGGGGUAGCAAGGUGACCCAGGCCUGGUCUUUCCGUGCCUUGAGCACAGACGGUUUUUUUUUUCUUAUCAACUUUAUUUAGGAAUAAUUUAUGGGCAAUAAACUGCGUCCAUUUAAAAUGAACAGUUAGGGAAUUUUGACGGUUUUAUGCACGCAUAGAACCACAACCACAGUCAAGAUACUGAACAUUUCUGUCACCUCCAAAAGAUUCCUGUGCCCCUUUGCAGACCCGUCUGGUGCCUGGACCCAGGGGACCACUGACCAGCUUCUAGUCAUUGGAGAUUAGUUUUCUUUCUAUGUAAAUGGAAUCGCACGUGUACUCUUGUGUCGGACUCCUUUUGCUCUGUAUAAUGGCUUUGAGAGUCACAUGCUGUCAUGUGUGUCAGUGGUGCUAUGGUCUGAGUGCGUCCCCUCGAGUUCGUGUGUUGCACCCUAACUCCCAGGAUGGUGUGGGGCGCCCUGCCUUCAGGAGCCCUUAGGCCACAAAGGUGGAGCCCUGCUAGCGCUUCCUAAGAGAGCUGCCACAGAGACCCCUGGCCUCCUCCACUGUCACCUGGGACUCAGAAGCGCGCCUUGCCGGGCCCCACCUGCACUCUGGUCUCUGACCCGCAGCCUCCAGGACUGAGAAAUAAAUUUCUGUUGUUCUUAAGCCAGUCUGUGGUAUUCUGUUAGUAGCCAGAACGGACUAAAGUUUGUUGAAGACAAGUAGUUUGUUCCUUUUAACUCCUGAAUGCAAAUUGCAAU